rnacentral:rRNA from 1 species
GACGAACCGAGCGAACGUUGUUCGGAAUCACUGGGCUUAAAAGGGCGCGUAGGCGGGCUGUCAAGUCUGGGGUGAAAUCCCACGGCUCAACCGUGGAACUGCCUUAGAUACUGACGGCCUCGAGGGAGAUAGGGGCGAGCGGAACUGUGAGUGGAGCGGUGAAAUGCGUUGAUAUUCACAGGAACUCCGGUGGCGAAGGCGGCUCGCUGGAUCUUUCUGACGCUGAGGCGCGAAAGCUAGGGAGCAAACGGGG